rnacentral:rRNA from 1 species
GGGUUGUGAGGUUAAGCGACUAAGCGUACACGGUGGAUGCCCUGGCAGUCAGAGGCGAUGAAGGACGUGCUAAUCUGCGAAAAGCGUCGGUAAGGUGAUAUGAACCGUUAUAACCGGCGAUGUCCGAAUGGGGAAACCCAGUGCAAUUCGUUGCACUAUCGUUAACUGAAUACAUAGGUUAACGAGGCGAACCGGGGGAACUGAAACAUCUAAGUACCCCGAGGAAAAGAAAUCAACCGAGAUUCCCCCAGUAGCGGCGAGCGAACGGGGAGCAGCCCAGAGUCUGAAUCAGCUUGUGUGUUAGUGGAACGGUCUGGAAAGUCCGACGGUACAGGGUGAUAGUCCCGUACACCAAAAUGCACAGGUUGUGAACUCGAAGAGUAGGGCGGGACACGUGGUAUCCUGUCUGAAUAUGGGGGGACCAUCCUCCAAGGCUAAAUACUCCUGACUGACUGAUAGUGAACCAGUACCGUGAGGGAAAGGCGAAAAGAACCCCGGCGAGGGGAGUGAAAAAGAACCUGAAACCGUGUACGUACAAGCAGUGGGAGCACCUUCGGGUGUGACUGCGUACCUUUUGUAUAAUGGGUCAGCGACUUAUAUUCUGUAGCAAGGUUAACCGUAUAGGGGAGCCGCAGGGAAACCGAGUCUUAACUGGGCGUUAAGUUGCAGGGUAUAGACCCGAAACCCGGUGAUCUAGCCAUGGGCAGGUUGAAGGUUGGGUAACACUAACUGGAGGACCGAACCGACUAAUGUUGAAAAAUUAGCGGAUGACUUGUGGCUGGGGGUGAAAGGCCAAUCAAACCGGGAGAUAGCUGGUUCUCCCCGAAAGCUAUUUAGGUAGCGCCUCGUGAAUUCAUCUUCGGGGGUAGAGCACUGUUUCGGCUAGGGGGUCAUCCCGACUUACCAACCCGAUGCAAACUACGAAUACCGAAGAAUGUUAUCACGGGAGACACACGGCGGGUGCUAACG